rnacentral:rRNA from 1 species
GAGUAGGUUACUAAGGGCGUAUGGUGGAUGCCUUGGCACAAAAAGGCGAUGAAGGACGUGGCGUGACUGCGAUAAGCGUCGGGGAGGUGUCUAGCGACCUUUGAUCCGGCGAUGUCCGAAUGGGGCAACCCAUGGCGAGUAAUGUCGUCAUAUCUUCUUCCGUAAGAGAAGAAGAAGCGAACCCGGGGAAGUAAAACAUUCUAGUACCCGGAGGAAAAGAAAAGAAGCAUCACUCUAUUAUUCACGGGUCCGAAUAGUCGGGCUCAUGAAUAAUAUUGUGAUAAUAUUCCCCCAGUAGCGGCGAGCGAAAAGGGAGGAGUCUAAACCGUAUGAAUUUGAUCCCGCUUAGCGGGAAAGAAUUCACGCGGGGUUGAAAGAAGCGGUCGUUUCCGCAGUAAUGCGGGAAAGGAGUAUAAAAACUGAAAAAUUGGUUAGUUAAAUGGUUUUGGAAAAGCCAACCAAAGAGGGUAAUAGUCCCGUAAGCGAAAACCUUUUUCAUACUUCUUGAUUGUUCUCUUAAGUACCGCGGGGAAAGAUUGCCCCGUGGGAAGCCGGGAGUACUACACUCCCAAGACUAAAUACUUUUUGUGACCGAUAGUGAACUAGUACCGUGAGGGAAAGGUGAAAAGUAGCCCGGUGAGGGCGAUGAAAUAGAUCCUGAAACCAUAUGCUUACAAAGAGCGGGAGUCCACGACACGCAAGUGUACGGGGUGACCGUGUGCCUAUUGAAGAAUGAGCCAACGACUUUAUGU